rnacentral:lncRNA from 1 species
GCCUCUCUCGUCCUUCAGCAUGGUUACCUGAGUAAUGAAUCCCCCAUCAUACCUCAAUCAGGCUCUCCACCAUUGAUGGAGCCUGCAGCUUGUCCUGGCCUCUGCUCCAACGCCCACCACGUUAAUGGAAUGAUGCUUUCUCCCUGUGAGUGGUGACCUUGAACCUGGAGACCCAGGUCUCAUCUUUGCACUCCAGCCGCUGGCGUGCAGCAGGUGGGCAGCAAGUGCAGGAGGCAGGGAAGGGAGAAGGGGAGAGAAGGUCACUCCUUCCUGCUGAUUCAGGUCAACCCGUGUGUCAAGUUCUACCCUUGUUUCCUCUGCCAGAUACUCUUGCACCACGUGGACACACAGCUCAUGCCCUCGUCUCCUUUAGGCCUCUCCUCCAACGUCAGUUCUCCAAUGUCCUGGACUGCAGUUCCCAGGAACUACAUUCUCCCAGACCCCAUCUUGAUCCCUACUUUCCUCCAUGCUUUCUUGUUCCCUUCCACCACCACUGGUCUUUCUCCAUGCUCAAUUUAUCUACUUUCUCUCUCUGAAAUGUGAGCUCCAUGUGGGCAGCUGUCUUUGAUUUGUUCUCUGCUGUGUCCACAGCACCUAGUAGGUGCUCACUAAUCAUCUGUGGCACGAAUUCUCCAAAACCACCUUACCAAAUUUGUUUCUCCCUAUGCA